GAAGUUUGAUGCUGUCAAGUCUCAAUCUUCUUCACUUUUAACUAACUUCGUUGUAGCAAUGGAUGCUUCCAUGUUCCAUUCUUCCUCACUGUCAAAUGGCACUUCAUAACUUCCUGAAGUAACCAUAUUCUCAUUGAACCAAUCUUCUCCUGUGGCAGUGAGUGCAAUCCCCCCCUACAAAUUCCACACUGUUGAAUUCCGCAGACUCUUCUAAAAGAGUGGACUCAUCAGCAUCUUCUGGCUCUGCAAUGGCACAAGUAGCUUGAGAAUCCCAUUCAUCCUCAAUUUCAACUUUAGGUUGUGAAGUUGUCACAACGUUCCAUUCUGCUCUUUUAUGCCAGCAAUCUCAAGCAUGAUGGCCUCUGUUGUCACACACAUAACACUGGUUAUUAUUGUGACGAUUUGUCAUAUCCUCUAUCUCAUUGUGGUUGUGCUGGAGAUGGUGAGCUCCCCCUUGUUGCCAACUCUUCUUGGAUGACAACUCUGCUAUCCUUCUUGUUUUAAUCUUCCACCAGUUCUUGAUCUCGCAACUUUUGGAUCCUUCUCAUUGCUCCUCUUCUUCUUACUAAAGAGAGUUUUCGCAUUUUCUUUGACUUAGACUUUAGACACUUGAUUGUCUAGAGCCUCCUAAUUAGCUAAAAUAUUUUCUAACUCAUUUAAAUUUGGCUCUUUAACCCAUCCACGGGAUGCUGCGAUAAGAGCAUUGAACUCAG
rnacentral:misc_RNA from 1 species